rnacentral:misc_RNA from 1 species
CCGAGUUUACAACUCCCAAACCCAAUGUGAACGUUACCAAACUGUUGCCUCGGCGGGAUCUUCUGCCCCGGGUGCGUCGCAGCCCCGGACCAAGGCGCCCGCCGGAGGACCAACUCCAAAACUCUUUUGUAUACCCCCUCGCGGGUUUUUUAUAUCUGAGCCAUUUCGGCGCCUCUCGUAGGCGUUUCGAAAAUGAAUCA